AUAGCCCAAAUCGCAGACUGAAACGCGCCCAUUUGGAGGGAAACCAUCCAAAUUUCAAACUCAGACAACAGAGAGAUGGCACAUUUUCCUUUUAUGAUAUCUACAGAUCAGAUGCCAUUGGCAAUUUGGAAUUUACCAAUUUCAAUUAAUUAUUCAUUCCGUUUUGUUUUGUCCCUAUUAUCUGCACAUUCAAUUUCAAACCCAGCGCAGUAGAGAGGGAAGUAUAAAUAAUUAGUAAGGAGGAGAAAGAGGUGGUGGUGGUUGAAGCACCAACUAAUUAUGUCGCGGAAUGGAAGCACCCACAGUGCCGGAGUCGGUGGAUCGGACUUCCACUUGCCGGACGAAAUCUUGGCUGUGAUACCCACGGAACCUUACGGCCAGCUAGAUCUGGCUCGUAAGAUCACCUCAAUGGCCAUUGCCUCUCGCGUGUCGAAGCUGGAGGCAGAGACGGGUUGUAUGAGGCAGAAAAUUUACGAGCAGGAUCAAAUUAUAUAUGAGCUUGAAGAGAAAGCGUCCAACAUGCAACGCUCGUUUCUGGAGGCGGAGUCCAGGUUGAAGAUUAGCCUUGAUGAAAAUAUAAAACUUUCAAAGGAGCGGGAUUCAUUGGCGAUGCGCUUGAAGAAACUCAGCCAUGAUUUGGCAAAGUUGGAGACCUUUAAGAGGCAAUUGAUGCAGUCACUAAAUGAUGAUAGUUUACCGCAGGCUGAAACUGUUGACAUUGGGACUUGUGAUCAGUCAGCUCCUAAUGCCUAUCCUGACAAAGAUGAGGAGAUGAAUGGUUAUGCAACCCAAAAUUCUUUUAGUGGCUCUACCGAUACAGGAAACACAAAUGACGAUGCUUCAAGACAUGCUAGGCAAAGGUUUUCUAUUACUCCCUAUAUCACACCAAGGCUUACUCCAACUGGAACCCCAAAAUCAUUUCUACAAGUGUGUCUCCUAAAGGUUUUUCUGCCAUUGGAUCUCCUCAGAAAACCUCUGGCACAACAUCUUAUGAGCGAUGGACUACACUUUCUUCAUGGUACCCAUCAAGCCAGCAGUCAUCAGCAGCAAACUCUCCUCCCCAUGGACGACCAUUGCCAGGAUGUACUCCACGAAUUGAUGGAAAGGAGUUCUUUCGCCAGGCAAGGAGUCGCCUAUCAUAUGAACAGUUCAGUGCAUUUUUGGCUAACGUCAAGGAACUAAAUGCUCAAAAGCAAACUCGAGAAAAAACCUUAAGGAAGGCAGAAGAGAUAUUUGGGAUGGAUAACAAAGAUCUUUACCUGUUGUUCCAAGGAUUGCUUAAUCGCAACAUUCGUUGACCCUAAACUAUGUCCAAUUUAGAUACGGUACUCAGUUUGUGGAUCGAACUUAGUCCAACAUUCCGCCUGUAGCGAGAGGAUGCCUUGUGAUAAAUUCUCCAAGAUGUAAUUUAUUGACAGCAACUAAGGUAUAUUUUAGUGGUUUAUGUUUAAGCAUCUAAAAUUGUAGGCUUCAUAUCCUUCAUACUUGCAGGUAUGUUGUGUAAAUACGUCUUUUUUUUUUCCUGCACUACCUGCUUGGAUAUCAAGAAAUACUGAUUGACAUGACUUUUGAAAGAUUUUGAUAUUUUUAAUUUGAAACUGAUGAGGUUACUUUCUUCAAUA